rnacentral:lncRNA from 1 species
GCCCGGGGCUGAGGUCUGGCUCACGGGUCUCGCGUUCCGUGCAGCUUCAGAUCGCAGCGCGCUCCCUGACGCACCGACGGGGCAGCCAUGAGCACGUGGGUAUUACGAUUCAAAAGGGAAACAGACGGCAAAGUGGGCGGGCACGCUCCAGGGGACUGCAGGGUCAGACUGGGUGCUCUGCAGGUCGGACUGCACGGUCUAGGGCUUUCGUUUCCAGGGAGGAAAAACUGCUGCCCGGCUGGGUGAGCACGCAGAGAGCUGUGGGGCUUCCCUGGAGGCUCAGACAGUAAAGAAUCCGCCUGCAGUGCGGGAGACCCGGGCUAGAUCCCUGGGUCGGGAAGAGCCCCUGGAGAAGGAAAUGGCAACCCACGCCAGUGUCCUUGCCUGGAGAAUCCUGUGGACAGAGGAGCCUGGCGGGCUACAGUCCGUGGGGUUGCAAAGAGCUGCACACGACUGACCACGGAGCUGCCUCGCAGCAUUUCUAUGUGGAGGAAAACGCAGGCGGGCGUUCUCGGAACAGCGGGACCACCGCCCUAUGGUGAUGGACAGCAAGGAGCGCGCGGCCUCAUGGUCCGAUUCAGUGCGAGGAGAGUGG